rnacentral:rRNA from 1 species
AUACGCAGGUGGCAAGCGUUAUCCGGAAUUAUUGGGCGUAAAGAGGGAGCAGGCGGCAGCAAGGGUCUGUGGUGAAAGCCUGAAGCUUAACUUCAGUAAGCCAUAGAAACCAGGCAGCUAGAGUGCAGGAGAGGAUCGUGGAAUUCCAUGUGUAGCGGUGAAAUGCGUAGAUAUAUGGAGGAACACCAGUGGCGAAGGCGACGAUCUGGCCUGCAACUGACGCGCAGUCCCGAAAGCGUGGGGAGCAAAUAGGAUUAGAUCCCCUAGUAGUCCACGCCGUAAACGAUGAGUACUAAGUGUUGGAUGACAAAGUUCAGUGCUGCAGUUAACGCAAUAAGUACUCCGCCUGAGUAGUACGUUCGCAAGAAUGAAACUCAAAUGAAUUGACGGGG